rnacentral:rRNA from 1 species
UACAGAGGUCUCAAGCGUUGUUCGGAUUCAUUGGGCGUAAAGGGUGCGUAGGCGGCGCGGUAAGUCGGGUGUGAAAUCUUGGAGCUUAACUCCGAACUGCAUUCGAUACUGCCGUGCUUGAGGACUGGAGAGGAGACUGGAAUUUACGGUGUAGCGGUGAAAUGCGUAGAUAUCGUAAGGAAGACCAGUGGCGAAGGCGGGUCUCUGGACAGUUCCUGACGCUGAGGCACGAAAGCUAGGGGAGCGAACAGG